rnacentral:rRNA from 1 species
UUCUUUAUUGAAUAAAUAUAAAGUAUAACCUGCUCAAUGAUUUUUUAAAUAGCCGCGAUAUUUAAUCGUGCUAAGGUAGCAUAAUAAUUUGUCUUUUAAUUAAGGUCUAGAAUGAAUGGUUGAACGAGAAAUUAACUUUUUUACUUAAAUUUUUUUGAAUUUUAUUUUUUAGUUAAAAAGCUAAAAUAAAUUUAUGUGACGAUAAGACCCUAUAAAAUUUUACUUUUUAAAUUAAGUGUAAUAAAUUAGCUUUUUAUCUUUUAUUUUUAGUAUAAAAGUUUGGUUGGGGCGACUAUUUUAUAUAAUAAACUAUAAUUUAUUUUAUUUCACUAAUUUGUGAUUUAUUGAUCCUAAAUUUUAGAUUAUAAGAUUAAAUUACUUUAGGGAUAACAGCGUAAUUUUCUUGGAGAGUUCUUAUUAAUAAUAAAGAUUGCGA